GAAGUUACAUGAAAGUCAGAAAGAUACCUGGGGUUUGUUCAUUAUCGGUUACCGGAAAAGAUGGUGCACUAGAAUGCAGACACUCUCAUAUUUACUUGGAAUCCCAACCUGCUUAAUGGAAUUAAUGCCACUCUUGCUUGGAACUUAAAUUCUUCUUUACCGUGUAGACCAUGCUACGGAAGGAGAUGAAGAUGCGAAGAAGUUACAUGAAAGUCAGAAAG
rnacentral:misc_RNA from 1 species